rnacentral:lncRNA from 1 species
UUUUCUAUAAACUCCUAAAAUUAUCCAUUCCCAAUCAAAUUUUUUAUUUAACUUAAUAGUGAAUAGAUGAAACAUAACCAUUACAGAUAUUUUAAUAAACUUUUUGUAAACCUAACUUUAACCCGUUUAGGUAUGGACUUAAUAAAUCAUUUGAUUCUAGCAUUUUCUAUUAAAUGAAUUGGUUAGAUGAUAAAUAGGGGGUCCAACCUUAAGCCCUUUCAGCCAGUCUUAUGAUCUAUUCCCAGUUCCUACUCUAUGCUUAGAAUUUAGAAAAUCUACAUACCCUUUUAUGGUUACUUUUCUUAAUGUUACAUAUAACAAAGUGAUACUACAAAUAUGAAGAAAAAAUAAAGUUUUUUUGGUGAAAAACAAUAGAAAAUAGUUAAUUAUCGUUUAAAAGUAAAAAUUAUGAAAUUGGAAUGCCUAAUACUAUUAUUGAAGAGUGUUUUUUCUUUCAAGAUGUUAUUGAAAUUUGAAGAGUUAUUUUGGUUCAUUACUAGUACUACACUAGUACUCUUUAGGUAGGCAACAAGACAAGGUGGGAACGGUUUUUGCGUCAUCAACUUCAGAUUCAAUUAGUUGGAGAAAAUCUGUAUCCAUUCCCAUUUCAUAGCGGGUAUAAAAUUUAGACAUCUAUUUCCGUAGGCAAUGAAUUUCGGAUUUUUCCAUCCACACACGCUUCCUUUCAUAUAUGUAUAAAUUAUAAAUUUAAAAAUCAUAUAUAUUAUAAUCAAUAUAAUAAAAUAAUUAUUAUUAGAGAAUAAUAAAAUUAAAAA